rnacentral:rRNA from 1 species
AUUGAACGCUGGCGGCAGGCCUAACACAUGCAAGUCGAACGAGUGGCGGACGGGUGAGUAAUGUCUGGGAAACUGCCUGAUGGAGGGGGAUAACUACUGGAAACGGUAGCUAAUACCGCAUACCAUCGGAUGUGCCCAGAUGGGAUUAGCUAGUUGGUGGUGUAACGUCUCACCAGCGCGACGCUCCCGAGCUGGUCUGAGAGGAUGACCAGCCACACUGGAACUGAGACCAGGUCCAGACUCCUACGGGAGGCAGCAGUGGGGAAUAUUGCACAAGGGGCGCAAGCCUGAUGCAGCCAUGCCGCGUGUAUGAAGAAGGCCUUCGGGUUGUAAAGUACUUUCAGCGGGUAGGCGUUACCCGCAGAAGAAGCACCGGCUAACUCCGUGCCAGCAGCCGCGGUAAUAC